AUCAAGAUACUAAGAAUGCAGCCGUAGACAAGUGGGUUUGUGCUAAAUAAAGGAAAUAUAUUUCCCUUGGAGGAGAGAACCACGUCGUCAGCAAAUCCCGGUGGGAUUUCUGGAUACUUAAAUCUGCCUGACUUGGAUUCCCAAGGAUGUUGAGAUGAAAUGGGACAGAAGCCAAGAGAACUAAAGAAUGCAAUCAGGGACGCGGGGAGGCAAAGCCAGCUCUUCAAUGGCCAAAGAAACUGCUCUUCCUACCACCAGAAGCCAAUAUUAAGAAGUUAUAAACCUGAAGGGAAGCAGCAGCACCUGUUAUGGUUUAGAACUACAAUGUUUCCCUAAAGCCUCACGUGUUUAGAAGUGGAGCUUU